rnacentral:rRNA from 1 species
ACUACGGGUGGCAGCAGUGGGGAAUAUUGCACAAUGGGGGACACCCUGAUGCAGCGACGCCGCGUGAGCGAGGAAGUAUUUCGUUAUGUAAAGCUCUAUCAGCAGGGACGAAAAAAGACGGUACCUGACUAAGAAGCCCCGGCUAACUACUUACCAGCAGCCGCGGUAAUACGUAGGGGGCAAGCGUUAUCCGGAUUUACUGGGUGUAAAGGGAGCGUAGACGGCAAGGCAAGCCAGAAGUGAAAGGGCAGGGCUCAACCCUGUACAUGCUUUUGGAACUGUGGGGCUAGAGUGCAGGAGAGGUAAGUGGAAUUCCUAGGGUAGCGGUGAAAUGCGUAGAUAUUAGGAGGAACACCAGUGGCGAAGGCGGCUUACUGGACUGUAACUGACGUUGAGGCUCGAAAGCGUGGGGAGCAAACAGGAUUAGAUACCCUUGUAGUC